GGAGCUAAUCCCGAUUGACAUGAUGAAAUGCAAUGUAUCUAAUGUUAAAUGACCUAAAAAUGAAUGCGUGAAUAAGGAGAGCAAAUUUUGGGGUGUUACAGCUGCCCCUAUUCAGUCAUCAACUAACCCGAGCAGGAUGAAAGCGAACAGCUUAUCAGACAAACAGGGUGAGCUGUGAUUGAAUACCAAAGACAAACCGAAAAUUUGCGCUCCGAGAACACCACAAAA
rnacentral:lncRNA from 1 species